rnacentral:rRNA from 1 species
CUGCAAGGAUCAGGGCGGGAUGCCUAACACAUGCAAGUCGAACGGCAGCACAGUCUGAGCUUGCUCUCUGGGUGGCGAGUGGCGGACGGGUGAGGAAUGCGUCGGAAUCUGCCUAUUCGUGGGGGAUAACGUAGGGAAACUUACGCUAAUACCGCAUACGACCUACGGGUUCAAGUGGGGGACCUUCGGGCCUCACGCGGAUAGAUGAGCCGACGCCGGAUUAGCUACUUGGCGGGGUAAAGGCCCACCAAGGCGACGAUCCGUACCUGGUCUGAGAGGAUGAUCAGCCACACUGGGAAGGAGACACGGCCCAGACUCCUACCGGAGGCAGCAGUGGGGAAUAUUGGACAAUGGGCGCAAGCCUGAUCCAGCCAUGCCGCGUGUGUGAAGAAGCCGGAUGGUUGUAAAGCACUUUUGUUAGAAACAGCGCAGGUUAAUAACCGGCGUCCAUGACGGUACCCAAACCAUAAGCACCGGCUUGUUUCGUGCCAGCAGCCGCGGUAAUACGAAAGGUGCAAGCGUUACUCGGAAUUACUGGGCGUAAAGCGUGCGUAGGCGGGACGUUAAGUCUGAUGUGAAAGCCCCGGGCUCAACCUGGGAAUGGCAUUGGAUACUGGCAGGCUAGAAUGUGGUACAAGGUGGUGGAAUUCCCGGUGUACGGUGAAAUGCGUAUAGAUCGGGAGGAACAUCUGUGGCCGUAGCGGCCACCUGGACCAACAUUGACGCUGAAGCACGAAAGCGUGGGGAGCAAACAGGAUUAGAUACCCUGGUAGUCCACGCCCUAAACAAUGCGAACUGGAUGCGACGCACACUUAGGUGCUCAGUGUCGAAGCUAACGCGUUAAGUUCGCCGCCUGGGGAGUACGGUCGCAAGACUGAAACUCAAAGGAAUUGACGGGGGCCCGCACAAGCGGUGGAGUAUGUGGUUUAAUUGUAUGCAACGCGAAGAACCUUACCUGGUCUUGACAACUACGGAACUUUCCAGAGAUGGAUUGGUGCCUUCGGGAACCGUGACACAGGUGCUGCAUGGCUGUCGUCAGCUCGUGUCGUGAGAUGUUGGGUUAAGUCCCGCAACGAGCGCAACCCUUGUCCUUAGUUGCCAGCACGUCAUGGUGGGAACUCUAAGUCUCCUGCCGGUGACAAACCGGAAGACAGUGGGGAUGACGUCCAGUCAUCAUGGCCCUUACGACCAGGGCUACACACGUACUACAAUGGUCGGUACAGAAGGUUGCAAUACCGCGAGGUGGAGCCAAUCCCAGAAAACCGAUCUCAGUCCGGAUCGCAGUCUGCAACUCGACUGCGUGAAGUCGGAAUCGCUAGUAAUCGCGGAUCAGCAUCAUCGCGGUGAAUACGUCCCGGGCCUUGUACACACCGCCCGUCACACCAUGGGAGUGCCAAGCACCAGAAGUAGCUAGUCUAACCUUCGGGAGGACGGUUACCACGGUGUGAUUCAUGACUGGGGUGAAGUCGUAACAAGGUAGCGCCUUA